ACGCGUUAAGUAGACCGCCUGGGGAGUACGGUCGCAAGAUUAAAACUCAAAUGAAUUGACGGGGGCCCGCACAAGCGGUGGAGCAUGUGGUUUAAUUCGAUGCAACGCGAAGAACCUUACCUACUCUUGACAUCCAGAGAACUUUCCAGAGAUGGAUUGGUGCCUUCGGGAACUCUGAGACAGGUGCUGCAUGGCUGUCGUCAGCUCGUGUUGUGAAAUGUUGGGUUAAGUCCCGCAACGAGCGCAACCCUUAUCCUUGUUUGCCAGCGAGUAAUGUCGGGAACUCCAGGGAGACUGCCGGUGAUAAACCGGAGGAAGGUGGGGACGACGUCAAGUCAUCAUGGCCCUUACGAGUAGGGCUACACACGUGCUACAAUGGCGCAUACAGAGGGCGGCCAACUUGCGAAAGUGAGCGAAUCCCAAAAAGUGCGUCGUAGUCCGGAUUGGAGUCUGCAACUCGACUCCAUGAAGUCGGAAUCGCUAGUAAUCGUGGAUCAGAAUGCCACGGUGAAUACGUUCCCGGGCCUUGUACACACCGCCC
rnacentral:rRNA from 1 species